rnacentral:pre_miRNA from 1 species
UCUUAUGGAUGAGCAAAGAAAGUGGUUUCUUGAGAUGGAAUUUACUUUUGAUAAAGAUGCUGUGAA